UAAACGACUCUCGGCAACGGAUAUCUUGGCUCACGCAUCGAUGAAGAACGUAGCAAAAUGCGAUACUUGGUGUGAAUUGCAGAAUCCCGUGAACCAUCGAGUUUUUGAACGCAAGUUGCGCCCGAAGCCAUCCGGUUGAGGGCACGUCUGCCUGGGCGUCACGU
rnacentral:rRNA from 1 species